rnacentral:rRNA from 1 species
GACGGAGGAUGCAAGCGUUAUCCGGAAUGAUUGGGCGUAAAGCGUCCGCAGGUGGCAGUUCAAGUCUGCUGUCAAAGACCGGGCUUAACUUCGGAAAGGCAGUGGAAACUGAACAGCUAGAGUAUGGUAGGGGCAGAGGGAAUUCCUGGUGUAGCGGUGAAAUGCGUAGAGAUCAGGAAGAACAUCGGUGGCGAAGGCGCUCUGCUGGACCAUAACUGACACUCAGGGACGAAAGCUAGGGGAGCGAAUGGG